rnacentral:RNase_P_RNA from 1 species
GAAGCCCGCCAGACCGCCGCUGGCGCUUAGUCCCGCAAGGGCGCGCUGGAGGAAGGUCCGGACUGCACAGGGUAGCGCAGGAGCUAACGGCUCUCCGCCGCGAGGCGAGGAUCAGAGCAACAGAGACGAGUCGCACGGGGCAACCCGCGCGGGUGAAACGGGCAAUCUCUGCGCGCAGCAACACCAAGUAAGUUGGCAUGGAAGCGGCCCGCCGAGCCAACGGGUAGGUGGCAUCGAGCCGCACGGGCGACCGGCGGCCCAGAUGGAUGGCGGUCACGGCCCGGGCAACCGGGCCGCACAGAAUCCGGCGUACCGGCGGACUUCACAC